rnacentral:rRNA from 1 species
UACAGAGGCCUCGAGCGUUAGGCGGAAUCACUGGGCUUAAAGCGUGUGUAGGCGGACUUCUAAGUACCUUGUGAAAUCCCACGGCUCAACCGUGGAACUGCUCGGUAUACUGGUUGUCUUGAGCCAUCUAGGGGCGAGCGGAACAAGUGGUGGAGCGGUGAAAUGCGUAGAUAUCACGUGGAACGCCAACGGUGAAAACAGCUCGCUGGGGAUGUGCUGACGCUGAGACACGAAAGCCAGGGGAGCGAACGGG